CUGCUGCUGAGUGUGUGCUGUCGAGCGUUUGAGCUGCAGGACACCAUCCACGCUCUGAUCGAGGAGAACAUCCACCUCCACGACCAGCUGGAGAACCUGACGAGAGCCCUGCGAGAGCUGCGGCAGCUCCUGUCCCAGCACAGCGACGAUCACACUCAUGAGCAUGAUGAGGAACUUCAGCAUCUCUGGGAGGAAUGGUCACAACACAGCAUCACACCUGCUGUUGGAACAUGCUCUCUGUGGACACGAGCUCAAUGGCUCCGCCCCCUCCAGUUAAGGACACGCCCCAUUUAUCAUCAUGGCUUUUGUAGUUCUUGCACACUUUCUUUUAUAAAGUGCAUAUGCAGAACUACAGCGUGAGUGAGUCUAUUCAAAUACAUUUGACAUCAUUCAGAGCAGGUACGGAUCAACACUGUCUGUCAAUCUUGAAGUUUGUUAUUGAGAAAAGAAAGAAAGGAGGAUAGUACAGAGUAGUUUAUCAGGUGAUAGUUUGAGGCCAGUGUGUGUGUGUUUGUUUUUUCACCCUAGAACAUUCUACAUUC